rnacentral:rRNA from 1 species
UACGGAGGGUGCGAGCGUUGUCCGGAAUCAUUGGGCGUAAAGGGCGCGUAGGUGGCCCGGUAAGCGUGCGGUGAAAGCUUGGGGCUCAACCCCGAGUCGGCCGUGCGAACUGCUGGGCUUGAGCACUGUAGAGGCAGGCGGAAUUCCGGGUGUAGCGGUGGAAUGCGUAGAGAUCCGGAAGAACACCGGUGGCGAAGGCGGCCUGCUGGGCAGUAGCUGACACUGAGGCGCGACAGCGUGGGGAUCAAACAGG